AUGGGGAGAGGAGCAGUGGGCUCGUCAUGGGCCUCAUUUCGAAAUGAAUGGGCCGGAGCAGCACGAACCCCUGUUUGUGUCUGUUCCCCUUGGCCUUGGGAGAGAAUGUCGUCGGCGGCGCUCCGCCGCCACCUCCUCCGCCUUCCCGCCCGCCGCCGCCUUCUCUGCGCCUCCUCCUCCUCCUCCCCUCCCUUGGCGCCGACCCACGGCGGCCAUGGCCCCGCGGCGGCGGGGCCGGGGGUGGUGGAGCUGAACCCGCCGCGCGGCACCAGGGACUUCCCGCCGGAGGAGAUGCGCCUGCGCACCUGGCUCUUCGACCACUUCAGGGAGGUGUCCCGGCUGAUCGCGUUCGAGGAGGUGGACUUCCCGGUGCUCGAGUCGGAGGCGCUCUUCGUCCGCAAGGCCGGGGAGGAGAUCGCGGAGCAGCUCUACAGCUUCGCGGACAAGGGCGGCCGCCGCGUGGCCCUCCGGCCGGAGAUCACCCCGUCCCUCGCGCGCCUGGUCAUCCGGCGGGGGACCUCGGCGCCCCUCCCGCUCAAGUGGUUCACCAUCGGCCAGUGCUGGCGCUACGAGCGCAUGACCAGAGGGAGGCGCCGCGAGCACUACCAGUGGAACAUGGACGUCUUCGGCGUGCCUGGCGUUCGCGCCGAGGCCGAGCUUAUCCAGGCCAUUGUCCUCCUCUUCGAGCGUCUCGGGGUCGCGUCCUCCGACGUGGGGAUCCGGCUGUCCAGCCGGAAGGUUCUCCAGGUGGUGCUCGACAUGCACUCCGUGCCGCGGCACCUGUUCACCCAGGUCUGUGUGAUUGUUGACAAGCUGGGGAAGAUGAGCAGAGACGAGAUUGAGAGGGAAUUGAUCUCCACCGGGCUGCCAUCUGAAGCUGUGCAGGGCAUCAUUGAUGUGCUUUCUCUGAAGUCGCUGUCUGAGCUCGAACAGGUGCUGGGCUCUGGUGCUGCUGAGGCUGUUGCUGACCUGAAGAAGCUCUUCUCCUUCGCCGAGCACUAUGGUUACGCCGAUUGGAUCUGUUUCGACGCGUCGGUUGUUCGCGGCCUUGCGUACUACACGGGGAUCGUGUUCGAGGCUUUUGAUAGGCAAGGUGAGCUCAGGGCGAUCUGCGGUGGGGGGAGGUAUGAUAGGCUGCUUUCAACAUUUGGAAGUGAAGAUGUGCCAGCCUGUGGAUUUGGGUUUGGGGACGCUGUUAUCGUCAAACUGCUGAAGGAGAAGGGUCUUCUGCCUCAUCUGUCGCGCCAAAUAGACGACAUUGUCUUCCCGUUGGAUGGUGAGCUUCAGGGACCGGCAUCCUGUGUCACAUCCUCUCUGCGGAAGAAUGGCAGAUCUGUAGACCUUGUGCAAGACAAGCGUCUGAAAUGGGUGUUUAAACAUGCGGAGAGGGUAAAUGCUAGCAGGCUGGUUCUGGUUGGGAAAUCUGAGUGGGAGCGAGGCAUGGUUCGUGUGAAGAUUCUGUCUACCAGAGAAGAAUUUGAGGUCAAGGCAGGCGAAUUACAGUAA
rnacentral:rRNA from 1 species